rnacentral:lncRNA from 1 species
AGGGAUUGUGACUAGUUUGUAGGCAGGGAUGUGUUGUGGUUUAGUGAAGAAUUGACAGCCUUGGUAUUUUCGGACUAAUUGUUUUGCAUCUGCCAAUGCCAUGGGCCAGUAGAAGCCUGCUCAGAAAGCCUUGGCUACUAUUGUUCUUGAAGAUGCAUGGUUGCCACAGAUUCCUUUGUGAAUUUCUUCUAGGAUUUCUUGGCCAUCUUCUCGGGUGACACACUUCAUGAGUACCCCUGAUGAUGCACUUUUCCUAUAGAUCUUGUCUCCGUCUAGAACACAGUUUUUUCCUCAUCGGGAAAUUUGCUCAGCUUGACUUUUGUCAGAUGGUAACUUAUGGUCUUUGAUGUAGUCGAUGAAGGGUGUCCUCC